rnacentral:misc_RNA from 1 species
AGUCAAGCUCAUGCUGCGACUACCCGUCUUACUUGUAUCCAUAUCUACACUAUAUACACACCAACACACACAGAGCUCCAAAUUAUCCUAAGGGCGGCAAUCACAAAUAAAUCACAAUAAUCAAAUAUGCAGCAACUAACUUAACCCUAAUAUAUUAACUAUUCAUGUGCAUAAUAAAUUAUUUAUAUAAUAUAUGGGCAUACCAAAUAUAUAUUUAAUAUUGAAAUUAUAAAAAUAA